AUACAGAGGGUGCAAGCGUUAUUCGGAAUUACUGGGCGUAAAGCGCGCGUAGGCGGAUGAUUAAGUCAGUUGUGAAAGCCCUGGGCUCAACCUAGGAACUGCAUCUGAUACUGGUCGUCUAGAGUUUAAGAGAGGGAAGUGGAAUUCCAGGUGUAGAAGUGAAAUGCGUAGAUAUCUGGAGGAACAUCAGUGGCGAAGGCGACUUCCUGGCUUAAAACUGACGCUGAGGUGCGAAAGCGUGGGUAGCGAACGGGAUUAGAAACCCUAGUAGUCC
rnacentral:rRNA from 1 species